rnacentral:rRNA from 1 species
CAGUGCCACGGUAAUACGAAGGGUGCAAGCGUUACUCGGAAUUACUGGGCGUAAAGCGUGCGUAGGUGGUGGUUUAAGUCCGUUGUGAAAGCCCUGGGCUCAACCUGGGAAUUGCAGUGGAUACUGGGUCACUAGAGUGUGGUAGAGGAUAGUGGAAUUUCCGGUGUAGCAGUGAAAUGCGUAGAGAUCGGAAGGAACAUCUGUGGCGAAGGCGACUAUCUGGGCCAACACUGACACUGAGGCACGAAAGCGUGGGGAGCAAACAGGAUUAGAUACCCCAGUAGUCCCUGUCUCUUAUACC